CCUACGGGUGGCAGCAGUGGGGAAUUUUGCGCAAUGCUCGUAAGAGUGACGCAGCGACGCCGCGUGAAUGACGAAGGCCUUCGGGUCGUAAAGUUCUUUUGUCAGGGAGCAAUUGGGUCCACGCGUGGGCUUAGCGAGAGUACCUGAAGAAAAAGCAUCGGCUAACUCCGUGCCAGCAGCCGCGGUAAUACGGAGGAUGCGAGCGUUAUCCGGAUUUAUUGGGUUUAAAGGGUGCGUAGGCGGAAUAUCAAGUCAGCGGUAAAAAUUCGGGGCUCAACCCCGUCGUGCCGUUGAAACUGAGGUUCUUGGUUGGGCUAGAAGUAUGCGGAAUGCGUGGUGUAGCGGUGAAAUGCAUAGAUAUCACGCAGAACUCCGAUUGCGAAGGCAGCAUACCGGCGCCCAACUGACGCUGAAGCACGAAAGCAUGGGUAUCGAACAGGAUUAGAUACCCUGUAGUC
rnacentral:rRNA from 1 species